GAGUUUGAUCCUGGCUCAGGACGAACGCUGGCGGCGUGCCUAAUACAUGCAAGUCGAGCGAGCUUGCCUAGAUGAUUUUAGUGCUUGCACUAAAUGAAACUAGAUACAAGCGAGCGGCGGACGGGUGAGUAACACGUGGGUAACCUGCCCAAGAGACUGGGAUAACACCUGGAAACAGAUGCUAAUACCGGAUAACAACACUAGACGCAUGUCUAGAGUUUGAAAGAUGGUUCUGCUAUCACUCUUGGAUGGACCUGCGGUGCAUUAGCUAGUUGGUAAGGUAACGGCUUACCAAGGCAAUGAUGCAUAGCCGAGUUGAGAGACUGAUCGGCCACAUUGGGACUGAGACACGGCCCAAACUCCUACGGGAGGCAGCAGUAGGGAAUCUUCCACAAUGGACGCAAGUCUGAUGGAGCAACGCCGCGUGAGUGAAGAAGGUUUUCGGAUCGUAAAGCUCUGUUGUUGGUGAAGAAGGAUAGAGGUAGUAACUGGCCUUUAUUUGACGGUAAUCAACCAGAAAGUCACGGCUAACUACGUGCCAGCAGCCGCGGUAAUACGUAGGUGGCAAGCGUUGUCCGGAUUUAUUGGGCGUAAAGCGAGCGCAGGCGGAAAAAUAAGUCUAAUGUGAAAGCCCUCGGCUUAACCGAGGAACUGCAUCGGAAACUGUUUUUCUUGAGUGCAGAAGAGGAGAGUGGAACUCCAUGUGUAGCGGUGAAAUGCGUAGA
rnacentral:rRNA from 1 species